AUGUCCGCGCGCCCGCCCCCGCCGCCGCGCCCGCGUCUGUCCCUGCCCCCGCGCUCCACCGGGGAGUCGCUCUUCUCCGGCACCGGCGACGCCAGCCCCGGCCCGCUCACCCUCGCCUCCGCGCUCUUCCCCUCCGACGCCGACGCCGACGCCGGGGGCGGCGGCGGCGGCGGCGCCUCGUCUGGCGCGGGGGCCACCAGCUUCACCCAGCUCCUCAUCGGCUCCCUCUCGCAACCGCCUCCGCAUCAGCAGCAGCAGCAGCAGGAGAGAGGGAGAGGCGGGGUCGCCAGGGCAGGGCCGGCGCUGUCUGUGGCACCGCCUGCCGGCGCAGCUGUUUUCACCGUGCCUCCCGGCCUCAGCCCCUCCGGUUUUUUCGACUCCCCCGGCCUAAUCUUCUCGCCGGCCAUGGGGGGUUUCGGCAUGUCGCAUCAACAGGCUCUUGCCCAAGUCACAGCCCAAGCAAGCCAUUCUCCACUCAGAAUGUUUGAUCACACUGAACAGACAUCGUUUUCAGCAGCUGCAACAUCAUCUGGAGCUCUACAGAAUAUGAGCUCUGCAGCCAAUGUGGCUGAGAUGUCAGAGAUGGCGACAACCAUAUCGAACAAUGAGCAUGCAGCCUUCCAAUCUGCUGAGGCUUCUCACAGGUACCAAGUUCCUGCCCCAGUUGAUAAGCCUGCUGAUGAUGGCUAUAAUUGGCGGAAGUAUGGUCAGAAGGUGGUGAAGGGCAGUGAUUGCCCAAGGAGCUACUACAAAUGUACUCAUCCCAGUUGUCCUGUGAAGAAAAAAGUAGAGCACGCAGAAGAUGGCCAAAUAUCUGAAAUAAUAUAUAAGGGAAAACACAAUCACCAACGUCCACCAAAUAAGCGAGCAAAAGAUGGCAGCUCUUUAGCAGCCGAGCAAAAUGAACAAUCCAAUGACACAGCAUCUGGUUUGUCAGGUGUUAGGCGAGAUCAGGAAGCUGUAUAUGGAAUGUCUGAGCAAUUAUCUGGUCUAAGUGAUGGAGAUGAUAAGGAUGAUGGUGAAUCUCGGCCAAAUGAAGCUGAUGAUAGAGAGAGUGACUGCAAAAGAAGGAAUAUACAAAUUUCUUCACAGAAGGCCCUGACAGAGUCUAAGAUCAUUGUACAAACAACCAGUGAGGUUGACCUUUUGGAUGAUGGUUAUAGAUGGCGCAAGUAUGGGCAGAAGGUGGUCAAAGGAAAUCCUCAUCCAAGGAGUUACUACAAAUGCACGUUUGCUGGGUGCAAUGUUAGGAAGCACAUUGAGAGGGCCUCGUCAGACCCAAAGGCUGUCAUCACAACUUAUGAAGGAAAACAUAACCAUGAACCACCGGUUGGUAGAGGCAGCAACCAGAAUGGAGGAAAUUCCAACCGGUCACAACAGAAAGGGCCGAAUAGCAUGUCUAGCAAUCAAGCUUCGCAUACAAGAACAGACCUCGGCAACGUUAACCAGGGGCAGAUCGGGGUCUUGCAGUUUAAAAGGGAAGAAUAG
rnacentral:rRNA from 1 species